GGGAGUGUAGCUCAGUGGUAGAGAACUUGCCUAGCAUGCAUGAGUCCUGAGUUCCAUCCCCAGCACUGCAA
rnacentral:tRNA from 1 species